AUCGCUUCUCGGCCUUUUGGCUAAGAUCAAGUGUAGUAUCUGUUCUUAUCAGUUUAAUAUCUGAUACGUCCUCUAUCCGAGGGCAAUAUAUUAAAUGGAUUUUUGGAACUAGGAGUUGGAAUAGGAGCUUGCUCCGUCCACUCCACGCAUCGACCUGGUAUUGCAGUACCUCCAACCCCCUCUGGGGAAUAAAGA